UGCGGAGGGAUCAUUACAAGAACGCCCGGGCUUCGGCCUGGUUAUUCAUAACCCUUUGUUGUCCGACUCUGUUGCCUCCGGGGCGACCCUGCCUUCGGGCGGGGGCUCCGGGUGGACACUUCAAACUCUUGCGUAACUUUGCAGUCUGAGUAAACUUAAUUAAUAAAUUAAAACUUUUAACAACGGAUCUCUUGGUUCUGGCAUCGAUGAAGAACGCAGCGAAAUGCGAUAAGUAAUGUGAAUUGCAGAAUUCAGUGAAUCAUCGAAUCUUUGAACGCACAUUGCGCCCCCUGGUAUUCCGGGGGGCAUGCCUGUUCGAGCGUCAUUUCACCACUCAAGCCUCGCUUGGUAUUGGGCAACGCGGUCCGCCGCGUGCCUCAAAUCGUCCGGCUGGGUCUUCUGUCCCCUAAGCGUUGUGGAAACUAUUCGCUAAAGGGUGUUCGGGAGGCUACGCCGUAAAACAACCCCAUUUCUAAGGUUGACCUCGGAUCAGGUAGGGAUACCCGCUGAACUUAA
rnacentral:rRNA from 1 species